rnacentral:pre_miRNA from 2 species
GAUAUACUCCCUUCGUCCGAAAAUACUUGUCGGAGAAAUGUAUGUAUCUAGACGUAUUUUAGUUCUAGAUCCAUCCAUUUUUAUCCAUUUCCGCGACAAGUAAUUCCGAACGGAGGGAGUAUAUU